rnacentral:snoRNA from 1 species
GGGUCAAUGAUGACAACCCAAAGUCAUGAAGAGAGGUGAUGACAUAAAAUUCAUGCUCAAUAGGAUUACGCUGAAGCCC